rnacentral:rRNA from 1 species
AUUGAACGCUGGCGGCAGGCCUAACACAUGCAAGUCGAGCGGAUGAAGGGAGCUUGCUCCUGGAUUCAGAGGCGGACGGGUGAGUAAUGCCUAGGAAUAUGCCUGCUUGUGGGGGAUAACGUCCGGAAACGGGCGCUACUACUGCCUAAGUCCUGCGGGAGAAAGUGGGGGAUCUUCGGACCUCACGCUAUCAGAUGAGCCUAGGUCGGAUUAGCUAGUUGGUGGGGUAGAGGCCUGCCAAGGCGACGAUCCGCAACUGGUCUGAGAGGAUGGUCAGUCGCACUGGAACGGAGACACGGUCCAUACGCCUAGAGAAGGCAGCAGGGGGGAAUAUUGGAGAAUGGGCGGGAACCUGUGCCAGCUGUGCCGCGUGUUGGAGGAAGGUCUUCGGAUUGUAAAGCACGUUAAGUUGGGAGGAAGGGGAGUAAGUUAAUACCUUGCUGUUUUGACGUUACCAACAGAAUGAGCACCGGCUAACUUCGUG